rnacentral:rRNA from 1 species
UAUGUCAACUAGUUGUUAGUUUUAGUAACUAAGCUAACGCGUUAAGUUGACCGCCUGGGUAUUACGAUCGCAAGAUUAAAACUCAAAGGAAUUGACGGGGACCCGCACAAGCGGUGGAUGAUGUGGAUUAAUUCGAUAUUAAGCGAAAAACCUUACCUACUCUUGACAUGUAUGAAAUUCUUCUUAAUGGAGGAAGUGCUCAUAACACAGGUGCUGCAUGGCUGUCGACAGCUCGUGUCGUGAGAUGUUGGAUUAAGUUCCAGAACGAGCGCAACCCUUGCUUUUAUUUUUAUAAAAGGACAGCGUUUAAACGAGGAAGGAAAGGAUGACGUCAAGUCCUCAUGGCCCUUAUGAGUAGGGCUUCUCACGUCAUACAAUGGUUAGCACAACGAGAAGCAAUUACGUGAGUAGGAGCGAAUCUUUAAAACUAAUCUUAGUUCGGAUUGAACUCUGAAAUUCGAGUUCAUGAAGCAGGAAUCGCUAGUAAUCGCAGAUCAGCAUGCUGCGGUGAAUACGUUCUCGGGUCUUGUACACACCGCCCGUCACACCAUGGGAAUAGGUUACAUUGGAAAUUAAAGU